CCCCGACUGCGGCGGGCAGGGACAUCCGUGGGCGAGCUCAGGACGCUCUUCAUGCUCUCGUGGCCCACCUCUGCCUGCUCCUGCUGCGUGGGGCUGGCUGACACCACGGCGGGUGGUGAUGCCUCGGUGAUGCCAGAGAACUUCUCGGUCUCUGUGAUGAGCCGGCCACGCGUCUUGUUGCGCUCACGGUGGGCCGCACGCUUCUUCUGCUGCUGCAGGACGCGCUCCCGGCACGUGCGGUACUCCAGGGCGAACUCCCGCAGCAGCUUGCAGAUGGGCAUCACCUUCA
rnacentral:lncRNA from 1 species